rnacentral:tRNA from 1 species
GGGUCUGUGGCUCAGUUAUUAUUAGAGCACACGCUUGAUAAGCGUGGGGUCACAAGUUCAAGUCUUGUCAGACCCACCA